rnacentral:rRNA from 1 species
CGUAGGGUGCAAGCGUUGUCCGGAAUUAUUGGGCGUAAAGAGCUCGUAGGUGGCGGGUCACGUCGGGUGUGAAAAGCCCCGGGGCUUAACCCCGGGUCCGUGCAUUCGAUACGGGCGUCGCUAGGGUCCGUGCAGGGGGAGGACUGGAAUUCCUGGUGUAGCGGUGAAAUGCGCAGAUAUCAGGAGGAACACCGGUGGCGAAGGCGGGUCUCUGGGCAGGUACCGACGCUGAGGAGCGAAGCGUGGGGAGCGAACAGGAUU